GGAGCUCCUCAGGCUCACAGAAAAUUCACAGCAAAACUAAAGUGAACCCCAAAAAGCUUGUUCUGGGUUUUCUUCUGCAGAAAAGAUUAAAGGAAAAUUGUUUUAGCAGAAAGAAAGCUCCAUCCUCAGGAAAGGCAAGCAAGGGAGCUACAGCUAAGGGAAGGGCAAUGAAGAAGGUGGCAGCCAGACUGAAGGGAAGAGGGGCUGCAAGACUUGGAGUUGAUGGUGGCCACCCUGGAGAGGAAAGGAACAUGGCCAAGAGGUUGGGAUUCAUGCUAGAUCAAGAAGGAAGAACCCAGAAGCAGCCCAGAGGCUUCACAGCUACAUAAGAAAAAAAAAGGGGGCAAGGCACGAUGCCUCAUGCCUGUAAUCCAGCACUUUGGGAGCCUGAGGCGGGUGGAUCACGAGGUCAGGAGUUCGAGAGCAGCCUGACCAACACAGUGAAACCCUGUCUCCACUGAGAAUACAAAAACUAGCCAGGCAUGGUGGCACACGCCUGUAAUCCCAGCUACUCAGGAGGCUGAGGCAGGAGAAGCCAGGGGGCGGAACUGCGGUGGGCAGAGAUCACGCCACUGUACUCUAUUCUGGGUGACAGAGUAAGACUCGAUCUCAAAAAAAAAAAAAAA
rnacentral:lncRNA from 1 species